rnacentral:piRNA from 1 species
UAGACUGGUUGUCUUUAAUCCAAGGUGCUGU